rnacentral:rRNA from 1 species
CGGUUGAUCCUGCCGGACCCCACUACUAUCGGGGUAAGACUAAAACAUGCAAGUUGUGCGUCCUCAGCUAUGUGAGGGCGCAGCGUACGGCUCAGUAACACGUGGCCAACCUACCCUUAGGACGGGAAUAACCCCGGGAAACUGGGGCUAAUUCCCGAUAGGUGAGGAUGCCUGGAAUGGAUCCUCACCUAAAUAACAUUAGGACCAUGCUUCCUAAUGUUGCCUAAGGAUGGGGCCGCGUCCGAUCAGGUUGUUGGUGAGGUAAUGGCUCACCAAGCCUAUAACCGGUACGGGCCAUGAGAGUGGUAGCCCGGAGAUGGGCACUGAGACAAGGGCCCAGGCCCUACGGGGCGCAGCAGUUGCGAAACCUCCGCAAUGCGCGAAAGCGCGACGGGGUUACCCCGAGUGCCAUCCUCUGAGGAUGGCUUUUCCCCAGCGUAAUGAGCUGGAGGAAUAAGGGGAGGGCAAGACUGGUGUCAGCCGCCGCGGUAAUACCAGCUCCCCAAGUGGUGGGGAUGAUUAUUGGGCUUAAAGCGUUCGUAGCCGGCCUGACAAGUCUCCCGUUAAAUCCAGCGACUUAAUCGCUGGGCAGCGGGAGAUACUGUCAGGCUAGGAGGCGGGAGAAGUCGACGGUAUUCUCGGGGUAGGGGUGAAAUCCUAUAAUCCUGAGAGGACCACCAGUGGCGAAGGCGGUCGACUAGAACGCGCCUCCACGGUGAAUGGACGAAAGCUGGGGGGAGCAAACCGGAAAUAGAAACCCCGGGUAGUCCCAGCUGUAAAAUAAUAAAAUACUAGGGUUUUUGGAGAUGGAAAAAAUCCAUCUCAGUGCCGCAGUGAAAACGUUAAGAAUUUUCGCCUGGGAAGUACGGGCGCAAGCCUGAUGACUUAGAAGGAAUUGGCGGGGGAGCGC